UGUUCUAUUUCCUUUACUCUAUGCUGAGAAACAGGGUUAAGCCUAUUAUUAUAAUUUUAUUAGAAAUUAUUUUAUUGAACACCUGUUGGGCCAAACACUGUAUCAGGUACUUGAAUAAGAUAUGGUCCCUCCCUCAUGAAAUUUUUUUUUUAAGAGACAGGGUCUUGCUCUUUGACACAGGUUGGAGUAUAGUGGUGCAAUCAUAGCUCACUGCUGCCUCAAACUCCUAGACUCAAGCCAUCCUCCUGCCUCAGUCUCCUGAGUAGCUGUGGUUACAGGCACGUCCCAGCACACCUAGCUGAUUUUUUAUUUUUUGUAGAGACAGGGUUUUGCUUUGUUGCCCAGACUGGUCUCAAACUCCUGGCUUCAAGCAUUCAUCCUGCCACAGCCUCCCAAAGUGCUGGGAUUACAGGCAUGAGCCACUUUGCCUGGCCCCUCAUGAAACUUAAAAUUAAAUUAUCUCUUUAAAAAGGAG
rnacentral:lncRNA from 1 species